rnacentral:rRNA from 1 species
UACGAGGGGGGCAAGCGUUGUUCGGAAUUAUUGGGCGUAAAGGGCGCGUAGGCGGAUGGCACAGUCAGAUGUGAAAUUCCCGGGCUUAACCUGGGGGCUGCAUUUGAUACGUGUGAUCUAGAGUGAGGAAGAGGGUCGUGGAAUUCCCAGUGUAGAGGUGAAAUUCGUAGAUAUUGGGAAGAACACCGGUGGCGAAGGCGGCGACCUGGUCCUUGACUGACGCUGAGACGCGAAAGCGUGGGGAGCGAACAGG